rnacentral:rRNA from 1 species
UACGUAGGGGGCAAGCGUUGUCCGGAAUUAUUGGGCGUAAAGCGCGUGUAGGCGGCUUUGCAAGUCGGGUGUGAAAGCCCUCGGCUCAACCGAGGAAGUGCGCCCGAAACUGCAGAGCUUGAGUACCGGAGAGGAUGGCGGAAUUCCCCAAGUAGAGGUGAAAUUCGUAGAUAUGGGGAGGAACACCGGUGGCGAAGGCGGCUCACUGGUCCGAUACUGACGCUGAGGUGCGAAAGCGUGGGGAGCAAACAGG